ACCCGCGUACAUGCCACCGGGGCAUCCCGGAGGCAGGAAAGGCUUCGGCCGGACAGGGAUGGGCAUGCGGCGCAUUAGGCAGUAGGCGGGGUAACGGCCCACCUAACCGACGAUGCGUAGGGGUUCUGAGAGGAAGGUCCCCCACACUGGUACUGAGACACGGACCAGACUCCUACGGGAGGCAGCAGUGAGGAAUAUUGGUCAAUGGUCGGGAGACUGAACCAGCCAAGCCGCGUGAGGGAGGAAGGUACAGAGUAUCGUAAACCUCUUUUGUCAGGGAACAAAGACUGGGACGCGUCCCCGGAUGAGUGUACCUGAAGAAAAAGCAUCGGCUAACUCCGUGCCAGCAGCCGCGGUAAUACGGAGGAUGCGAGCGUUAUCCGGAUUUAUUGGGUUUAAAGGGUGCGCAGGCGGUCUGUUAAGUCAGCGGUCAAAGCCCGGGGCUCAACCCCGGCCCGCCGUUGAAACUGGCAGUCUCGAGUUGGAGAGAAGUAUGCGGAAUGCGCGGUGUAGCGGUGAAAUGCAUAGAUAUCGCGCAGAACUCCGAUUGCGAAGGCAGCAUGCCGGCUCCACACUGACGCUGAGGCACGAAAGCGUGGGUAUCGAACAGGAUUAGAUGCCCUGGUAGUCCACGCAGUAAACGAC
rnacentral:rRNA from 1 species